UACAGAGGUGCCAAGCGUUAGGCGGAAUCACUGGGCUUAAGGCGCGUGUAGGUGGGUCGUUAAGUGUCCGCGUGAAAUCCCACGGCUCAACCGUGGAACCGCUGGGUAUACUGGUUGUCUUGAGCCGGCUAGGGGCGAGCGGAACAGACGGUGGAGCGGUGAAAUGCGUAGAUAUCGUCUGGAACGCCGAAGGUGAAAACAGCUCGCUGGGGCCGCGCUGACGCUGAGACACGCAAGCCAGGGGAGCGAACGGG
rnacentral:rRNA from 1 species